CGGACUGAGAGGUUGAACGGCCACAUUGGGACUGAGACACGGCCCAGACUCCUACGUGAGGCAGCAGUGGGGAAUAUUGCACAAUGGGGGAAACCCUGAUGCAGCGACGCCGCGUGGAGGAAGAAGGUCUUCGGAUUGUAAACUCCUGUUGUUGAGGAAGAUAAUGACGGUACUCAACAAGGAAGUGACGGCUAACUACGUGCCAGCAGCCGCGGUAAAACGUAGGUCACAAGCGUUGUCCGGAAUUACUGGGUGUAAAGGGAGCGCAGGCGGGAAGACAAGUUGGAAGUGAAAUCCAUGGGCUCAACCCAUGAACUGCUUUCAAAACUGUUUUUCUUGAGUAGUGCAGAGGUAGGCGGAAUUCCCGGUGUAGCGGUGGAAUGCGUAGAUAUCGGGAGGAACACCAGUGGCGAAGGCGGCCUACUGGGCACCAACUGACGCUGAGGCUCGAAAGUGUGGGUAGCAAACAGGAUUAGAUACCCUGGUAGUCCACACUGUAAACGAUGAUUACUAGGUGUUGGAGGAUUGACCCCUUCAGUGCCGCAGUUAACACAAUAAGUAAUCCACCUGGGGAGUACGACCGCAAGGUUGAAACUCAAAGGAAUUGACGGGGGCCCGCACAAGCAGUGGAGUAUGUGGUUUAAUUCGACGCAACGCGAAGAACCUUACCAAGUCUUGACAUCCUGCGACGGUGCUGGAAACAGUACUUUCCUUCGGGACGCAGAGACAGGUGGUGCAUGGUUGUCGUCAGCUCGUGUCGUGAGAUGUUGGGUUAAGUCCCGCAACGAGCGCAACCCUUAUGGUCAGUUACUACGCAAGAGGACUCUGGCCAGACUGCCGUUGACAAAACGGAGGAAGGUGGGGAUGACGUCAAAUCAUCAUGCCCUUUAUGACUUGGGCUACACACGUACUACAAUGGCGUUAAACAAAGAGAAGCAAGACCGCGAGGUGGAGCAAAACUCAGAAACAACGUCCCAGUUCGGACUGCAGGCUGCAACUCGCCUGCACGAAGUCGGAAUUGCUAGUAAUCGCAGAUCAGCAUGCUGCGGUGAAUACGUUCCCGGGCCUUGUACACACCGCCCGUCACACCAUGAGAGCCGGGGGGACCCGAAGUCGGUAGUCUAACCGCAAGGAGGACGCCGCCGAAGGUAAAAACUGGUGAUUGGGGUGAAGUCGUAACAAGGUAGCCGUAGGAGAACCUGCGGCUG
rnacentral:rRNA from 1 species